rnacentral:misc_RNA from 1 species
ACCAAGUUGAGAUCCGGAUAAAUCUUGGGCAACCUGAGAUCUACCAUAACCAUUAUGAAUUUCCGAAUAUAUUUUACAUAAAUAUUGAGGAAAAGAUCGUUUUUAUGUUUACCAUCACAGAGGGGAAGCAUUUUCUCAUGAUAAAUUUUUAUGAUGAAAUCAAACCAAAGCGAGAUCUACGAAAUAAUACAGCUAAGUCGAGAUCCUACAGUGGAUAUAUUGACGUUUAUUGGUAAAGGUGAGAUCCCGCGCUGUUGUCAAUAGUAAAAAUUCAAACCUUGUUGUCCCUUGUGGAGCAGCACUCUUUAAGUUAGUUUAGUUUCGUUCGGACCUAUUUGAGUGAAGGAGUGAUUAAUUUUGCAUCGAAUAUGACCGCUCGUAGUAAAAGACUGGUGGAAUUGGCUCUGAAUAAGGAAGUAAAGCAUACUGCAGAAAGGGAAGGUAAGUUAAAUCAUGAUUUUUUUUUAUUCUGCUUUUAUUUCUGAAUUCCCCAAAGAGCCAUAGGCAUGAGUACAUUUUCAUAUGGUUCGAAAUAUGACGUUUCCGCAUUUUAAUGUAAGCAAUAUUUUUCAUAAUAUACUCUUAUGCUACUGAUUUUUCUUUAACAUUGAUUCUACUAGAAUUAUGUCGCACGGAUAAUGAGCACUCUCAGCACUCUGAAAACGAAAAUUCGUUCUGUAAGGACUACGUAGUGGAGGAUUUAGAAGGAGGGGAAAAUGUCUGGAAUGAAUUUAAUGAAUGGAAACAGAAGCAAAUUGAAAUGAACGAAGAAGUUGAAUCAAACCACACUGAAGAAGAAUAUAAAUCAUCAACGGAUUUUAUUGAUUCAUCAAUGAGGAGAAAGAAUCCAAUUCAACAAGUGAGUGUCCGUCAGGUACUUCAGAAGAAAUUCCAAUUCAAGAAUUGUUGCAAUAUCAGGAAAAAAAAUAUUCGCAAGAGAAUAUGAUUGAUAUCCAAAAUACUAGUAUUGCUUUAGUUCUUGAAGAACAAACCCCAGCAUCAAUCAGCAAUAAAAAUCUUCAAGACGUCAGACCGACAGUGAACAUUAUACAAAAUAUCAUCUUAGAUUCAACCAAAGAAAAGGAACCAAAAACAGUAGUACCAGAAAAAAAAAUUAAAAUAGAGGUGAGAAAAGCUGAUCUGAAUUUAAAAUUGUAUUGAUAUAAAAAGAGAAUUAUUGUAAUUUUCUAAAUAUACCAAGUCACACAGAAUGGCCCUAUUGAAACUGCCAUUCUCGAACAUGACGGCGCCUCUGUUGAUUAUAGGCGAUUUCAAAUAAAAAUGCAUCCUGCAAAAUAUUUAAACCUACGUUGUUAGUAGAUAUUUUCAUAUAUCUUUUAUCGACCAUGUGUUUUCAUUGCUUUCAUAACAUUACUUUCAACAGUCUUUUGGUACUUUGUAUUUGUUUACCAAACUAUAUAAAAUAAUGAAAUUACUAUACUCCAUAUUUGUUCACAAACGCUAGUGCCACUAUCAGUUCAUACGAUUUCUAUUUGAAAGAGAGCUAUGCUAUAAUAACACUGAACUUUCUCAAGUCAAACCUCUAGGGGGUAGCAUCUUUUUAAUUCCUUUCAAGAGCGAUGAGGAUCAAAUUAUACCUUCUCUAGAAGUCUGUC